rnacentral:rRNA from 1 species
ACGGGUGCGUAACGCGUAUACAAUCUACCUUUUACAGAGGGAUAGCCCAGAGAAAUUUGGAUUAAUACCUCAUAGUAUUAUAAAAUGGCAUCAUUUAAUAAUUAAAACUUCGGUGGUGAAAGAUGAGUAUGCGUUCUAUUAGCUAGUAGGUAAGGUAACGGCUUACCUAGGCAACGAUAGAUAGGGGUCCUGAGAGGGAGAUCCCCCACACUGGUACUGAGACACGGACCAGACUCC